rnacentral:rRNA from 1 species
GCGCGAUACAGGGUGACAGCCCCGUACACAAAAGCGCAUGUGCUGUGAGCUCGAUGAGUAGGGCGGGACACGUGGUAUCCUGUCUGAAUAUGGGGGGACCAUCCUCCAAGGCUAAAUACUCCUGACUGACCGAUAGUGAACCAGUACCGUGAGGGAAAGGCGAAAAGAACCCCGGCGAGGGGAGUGAAAAAGAACCUGAAACCGUGUACGUACAAGCAGUGGGAGCACAGGUUUACCUGUGUGACUGCGUACCUUUUGUAUAAUGGGUCAGCGACUUAUAUUCUGUAGCAAGGUUAACCGAAUAGGGGAGCCGGAGGGAAACCGAGUCUUAAUUGGGCGUUAAGUUGCAGGGUAUAGACCCGAAACCCGGUGAUCUAGCCAUGGGCAGGUUGAAGGUUGGGUAACACUAACUGGAGGACCGAACCGACUAAUGUUGAAAAAUUAGCGGAUGACCUGUGGCUGGGGGUGAAAGGCCAAUCAAACCGGGAGAUAGCUGGUUCUCCCCGAAAGCUAUUUAGGUAGCGCCUCGUGAAUUCAUCUCCGGGGGUAGAGCACUGUUUCGGCUAGGGGGCCAUCCCGGCUUACCAACCCGAUGCAAACUGCGAAUACCGGAGAAUGUUAUCACGGGAGACACACGGCGGGUGCUAACGUCCGUCGUGAAGAGGGAAACAACCCAGACCGCCAGCUAAGGUCCCAAAGUCAUGGUUAAGUGGGAAACGAUGUGGGAAGGCCCAGACAGCCAGGAUGUUGGCUUAGAAGCAGCCAUCAUUUAAAGAAAGCGUAAUAGCUCACUGGUCGAGUCGGCCUGCGCGGAAGAUGUAACGGGGCUAAACCAUGCACCGAAGCUGCGGCAGCGAACGUAUCACUUAAAGCGAUUCAGCGGGUUACGAUUGACGGAGCGAAGCGACGUCAAAGCGUAUACAAAGUCGAGUCGGUUUAAGGAUACGUUCGUUGGGUAGGGGAGCGUUCUGUAAGCCCGUGAAGGUGGCCUGUGAGGG